AUGCAAUCGUUUAUUAGUCGGGAAUCUUAGCAUCUUGUAACGGUAAGAUGACAAGAGUUGUAGCAUUUAUGCUUGUUUCUCUGCUUGGUGCCGUUAUUGUCGGGGUGAGCAGUGAUCACCCAACGGAUUAUUAUUGUGAGAACAACUGCAGAUUUUGUACCGCAUAUUGCCUGAGCUUUAUCCAUCCGCGCUGGAGCUGUUUAAGAAACUCAUUGUGCCCUUCGUCGUCACCAUAUCGAUGUAUUUGUUACGGUUGAUAGUGCUAGCGGUGAUUGUUUCCAAGACACUCGGUUGUUUAUUUCGGAAAUUAGUUCAACAAGACAUAUCAAAUUGUAAUUAAAACAAUAUAACACCCUUUAGUUUAUGCCAUUAACAGAAUGUAAACUUUUGUUUGAUUAUUCGAAAAGUACACUUUUUUAUGAUUGUAAAAUGUCAUUAUUUUAAAAUAGCUGUUUGACAACAUAACCAAAAAAAAAAGAAAAAAAAGAAAAAAAAAAGAAAAGAAUAAAUAACAGUGCUGCU
rnacentral:sRNA from 1 species